GAAGUGGAUGAUCCAUGUUUGUCAGAAUGACCUCGAUCUUUCUAAGUGUCCAUCUCUCCACCUCAUCCUCCAAUGUAUUCAAUCCGGUUCCAACUACAGAGCAGCUUUUUUAAUCAGUUUGUUCAGACGCCUUGCAGUCUUGUUCUUUAUACUGCCUCCCCAGCAGACUGCGGCAUAAAACAGGACACUUGCUACCAGAGAUUGAUAAAACAUCUGCAGCAUCUUACUGCAGAUGUCUAUUGAUCGAAGUCUUCUUAGGCAAAAAAAGUCGGCUCUGGCCCUUUUUGUAGAUGAAAUGUGCAUUUUUAGACCAGUCUAACUUAUUGUCAAGGUGGACAUUCAGGCGGAAUUCAAGUUAGUACAUGUAAUUUGUAUGUGUACAUACAAAUUGGUAGGGAUGGGCGAGUACCGAUGCCAGGUAUCGGUAUCGAGCCGAUCCUGGCCUUAUUUCAAAGUAUCAAGUACUUUUGAAGGCUGCCGAUGCCAGCCACCGAUACUCAAGGCAAGAAAAUCCCACGCGUAGUAAACCCUCCUCGCCGGGAGAUGGCGCUACACUGCCGCGGGUUGACUUCUCCAUGUGCGUCACAUCCUGUGCAGAGACAACUUACCCCUCUCGUUUGUGGACAGCGUGGGAUUCCGACGGUUCAUGGAGGUUGUGGAGCCGAAAUAUGAUGUCCCCUCUCGAACCACAAUGGUGAGGACUGUGAUUCCGGAGGUGCACGACUCCGUUAAAAAACAUGUUAGCAGUUUGUUGUGUAACACUCCGGUCAUUAGCUUCACCACUGAUAUUUGGAGCAGCAGCGUGAGUGCUGUGUCUCUCAUCAGCCAGACAGCGCGUUGGAUAGAUGCUGAUUUCCAACUUCAUAGCAUCAUGCUGCACGCAAAAGAGUUCAGUGGCUCACACACAGGACAGGCGAUCGCAGAAAAGUUUGAGGAGAUGCUCAACACAUGGAAUAUUCCCAAAGAAGCCGUUCACGUUAUGCUAAGAGACAAUGCAAAGAACAUGAUUAAAGGUAUGGAUGAAGCUGAGCUUCCAAGCCUCCCGUGUGUCGUGCACACACUCCAGCUGACAGUGAAUGAAGGCCUGCUGGUUCAAAAGGCUGUUUCAGAUGCCGUGGCCAUAGGACGGAAAAUAGUCGGUCAUUUCCAAAAUUCCCCAUUGGCCUACUCGAAGCUUGAAGACAUCCAAACGGACAUGCACAAGCCUGUAAAAAGACUGGCACAGAACGUACCAACCCGCUGGAAUAGCACGCUGUAUAUGAUGCGCUCUCUCAUUGAACAAAAGCAAGCCAUAGGAGUUUAUGGGACAGAAAACAAGCUCCCCGAGAGCCUUAGUGUGAACCAGUGGAGUUUAUUCGAAAAGGCAAUCAAGCUUUUGGAACCCUUUGAGGAGCUGACCCGGCAGGUGAGCUCCACGGAUUCAUCAGCUGCAGAUGUGAUCCCUGCCAUCACCACGCUUCUUGAGGGUUUUAGAGAAGGAUUGUGAGGAGGACCGUGGGGUCGGAUCGAUGAAGCAUACCUUGCUACAGGUUGCUAGGAGGUGCUUUGCUGAUAUCGAGAGAAAUCCACUGUACAGCUUUGCCUCCAUACUCGAUCCAAGGUAAUAGUUUUUCUUACUAAUUCAAAUGUGAGAAAUUGUUUUAAUUAAAUUACUAUUAGAGUUGCCUAACCUUAAUAUUACUCAAGUAAAGUAAAAAAUAUUUUGCAUUAACUACUCUCAGUUAAAAGUACAACCACCUGAAUUGUGAUGUGACACCUGAAUCACUUAUGUGGAUGUGUAGACUUUCUCAUUUGUUCUCUUUUCUUCUCUCUUUUGUAGAUACAAGGAUUGUUAUUUCUCAGAUGAAAGCGCAGCAAGGGAGGCCAAAACGAUGCUUGUACAGGAGCUGCAGCAAACAUUUGCUGCAGAACCACAGGCAGAUGGAGAGGAACCACCUGCCCAAAAGCCACGGAGGGAGCAGCCCAGCAGCAGCAGCCGUCUCAACAGAAUGUCUGCUGAAAUAGCAGAGGGCCGUGCAUCAUCCUCACAUUGUACCGGGAGAAGUGCUCCAAUGAUCGCUGCUGCAAUGCAGCUGGAGACAUACCUUGCAGAACACUUACUCGAACGGGAUGCCAAUCCACUCAAGUACUGGGCAGAGGAGAGAGAAAAGUUUUCCUCUUUGGCCAAGUUAGCAAGAAAAUACCUCUCGGCACCAUGCAGCAGCGUCGAGAGUGAACGGCUCUUUAGUUCAGUUGCUCACAUUCUCGAUGACACAAGAAAUAGGCUCUCAGCUGAAAAUACAGAGAUGCUUCUGUUCCUUAAUAAGAACCUGCCACUUACCUUUUCACCCUCAGAUAACAGUUAGACAAUGAAGCAACUUAAAGGUUUAAGCUUUGUUCUAGUUUUGUGCUUCAAUUUUGCACCUUAAAAUAAAACCCAGGAAGAGAAAGUUCAUUUUAUUUCAUUUAAAAACUGAAAACUCAGGGGUUGUUCUAUCUUUGACUUUAGUUCAUAAAAAAGCAUUAAAAUGAGAACAUUUAAAAACUUUAGUUCAUGUAAAGUGUAAAACUCAGAGAAAGCUUUUUGAUCUUGCACUUUAGUUCAUAAAAAACCUUAAAACUCAGAAAGUUGUUUUAUCUUGCACUUUAGUUCAUAAAAAAAACCUUAAAACUCACAGAAAGCUGUUUCAUCUUGCACUUAAGUUCAUUUAAAAAAACAUGACAAUGUGUUCAUUUAAAAAAGUGUAUAACUCAGAGGUGUUUGUUACAUCUUUUACUUCAUUUAAAAGAAACCUUAAAACUCAGAAAUUGAUUUAUCUUGCACUUAAUUUCAUUUAAAAAAGUGUAAAACUCAAAAGAGUUGUUUUAUAUUUCACUUUUUUUUAUAUAUCUGAAACUGAGACUGCUAUUAUUUUAGUAGUGGCUGUGCUGCCUUUUUUAGAAAUAAAAGUCAUUUUUCAAAAAUGA